rnacentral:rRNA from 1 species
CACGGGGGGAGCAAGCGUUGUUCGGAAUUACUGGGCGUAAAGGGCGUGUAGGCGGUCAAGUAAGUGGAAUGUGAAACGCCUCGGCUUACCCGAGGACCUGCAUCCCAAACUGCUUGGCUUGAGUAUGGGAGAGGAUGAGGGAAUUCCUGGUGUAGCGGUGAAAUGCGUAGAUAUCGUAAGGAAGACCAGUGGCGAAGGCGGGUCUCUGGACAGUUCCUGACGCUGAGGCACGAAGGCCAGGGGAGCAAACGGG